rnacentral:rRNA from 1 species
GAUGAACGCUGGCGGCGUGCCUAAUACAUGCAAGUCGAGCGAACGGACGAGAAGCUUGCUUUUCUGAUGUUAGCGGCGGACGGGUGAGUAACACGUGGAUAACCUACCUAUAAGACUGGGAUAACUUCGGGAAACCGGAGCUAAUACCGGAUAAUAUUUUGAACCUCAUGGUUCAAAAGUGAAAGACGGUCUUGCUGUCACUUAUAGAUGGACCCGCGCUGCAUUAGCUAGUUGGUAAGGUAACGGCUUACCAAGGCAACGAUGCAUAGCCGACCUGAGAGGGAGAUUGGCCACACUGGAACUGAGACACGGUCCAGACUCCUACGGGAGGAAGCAGUAGGGAAUCUUACGCAAUGGGCGAAAGCCUGACGGAGCAACGCCGCGUGAGUGAUGAAGGUCUUCGGAUCGUAAAACUCUGUUAUUAGGGAAGAACAUAUGUGUAAGUAACUGUGCACAUCUUGACGGUACCUAAUCAGAAAGCCACGGCUAACUACGUG